rnacentral:rRNA from 1 species
GCCAGACUCCUACGGGAGGCAGCAGUGGGGAAUAUUGCACAAUGGGGGAAACCCUGAUGCAGCGACGCCGCGUGAGCGAUGAAGUAUUUCGGUAUGUAAAGCUCUCUCAGCAGGGAAGAAGAUGACGGUACCUGACUAAGAAGCCCCGGCUAACUACGUGCCAGCAGCCGCGGUAAUACGUAGGGGGCAAGCGUUAUCCGGAUUUACUGGGUGUAAAGGGAGCGUAGACGGCGAUGCAAGCCAGAUGUGAAAGCCCGGGGCUCAACUCCGGGACUGCUUUUGAAACUGUGUAACUGGAGUGCAGGAGAGGUAAGCGGAAUUCCUGGUGUAGCGGUGAAAUGCGUAGAUAUCAGGAGGAACACCAGUGGCGAAGGCGGCUUACUGGACUGUAACUGACGUUGAGGCUCGAAAGCGUGGGGAGCAAACAGGAUUAGAUACCCGUGUA